ACUGACUAAACACUUACAGAAAGGUUUUAUUUGUUAGCAUAGCAUGAUAAUUAAUACAUUUUUAAAUCAAUCACUUUGUCUCUGCACAAUGAACAUUAUCAAAUAUUAUUAAUGUUGUAAAAUAUAUUGUUCAUUGUUAGUUCAUAUUAGCUAAGGCAUUACCAAAUGUUAAGUAAUAAACUAUUGUAGUAAAGUGUUACUAAAUUUUCUUUUACCAUUUCUUUCACAAUGUCUACUUAUUUCUAUGGCUAACAGAUUUUGUAACAUUUGUCUUUUUUACAGUCUUACCAUUGCUUGUAAGCUGGAUUGGGUAAGAUGGAUCAUCUUUAAAGGCACCAGUUUACCUGAGUGGCACUUUUCAGGAGUUAAGGCAGAUGUGGAGGCACAACGGGUGAUACCAGACACACACCAAGCACAUUAUGUUCGGACAUUCAAUCAUGACAUGAUCCAGGUGGAUGCUGUCCAUUGAUGAAAGAGUUUGUUCCGAGGUUUCUGGAUAGAAUUAAUUCCAAAGAUGGGAAAAAGUGCACAUCCAGACAAGGAGCAAGCAAAAAGACAAGGAACUUGGUGCAGAGAAAAGCUGUGGCCAUUAACCCCCAUGUGAACAGCUUCAUGCAGUCCCUGAUUGAGUUCGAAUGGAGGACUUCAA